GCCCCAGUGGCCUAGUGGUAACUCUCCCACCUGCUGUGUGGGCGACCCGGGUUUGAAUCCCGUCAUCAGCG